rnacentral:rRNA from 1 species
GCUUGACGGACUCUCUGAGUGUUUCCGUUAAGGAAAUCUUUUGGCCCCUCUAAAAAUGGUGCAAAAUAAGGGGUGGGCAAGUCUGGUGCCAGCAGCCGCGGUUAU